AGGGAGCGGACAGAUGGGAGCUUGCUCCCUGAUGUUAGCGGCGGACGGGUGAGUAACACGUGGGUAACCUGCCUGUAAGACUGGGAUAACUCCGGGAAACCGGGGCUAAUACCGGAUGGUUGUUUGAACCGCAUGGUUCAAACAUAAAAGGUGGCUUCGGCUACCACUUACAGAUGGACCCGCGGCGCAUUAGCUAGUUGGUGAGGUAACGGCUCACCAAGGCAACGAUGCGUAGCCGACCUGAGAGGGUGAUCGGCCACACUGGGACUGAGACACGGCCCAGACUCCUACGGGAGGCAGCAGUAGGGAAUCUUCCGCAAUGGACGAAAGUCUGACGGAGCAACGCCGCGUGAGUGAUGAAGGUUUUCGGAUCGUAAAGCUCUGUUGUUAGGGAAAGACAAGUACCGUUCGAAUAGGGCGGUACCUUGACGGUACCUAACCAGAAAGCCACGGCUAACUACGUGCCAGCAGCCGCGGUAAUACGUAGGUGGCAAGCGUUGUCCGGAAUUAUUGGGCGUAAAGGGCUCGCAGGCGGUUUCUUAAGUCUGAUGUGAAAGCCCCCGGCUCAACCGGGGAGGGUCAUUGGAAACUGGGGAACUUGAGUGCAGAAGAGGAGAGUGGAAUUCCACGUGUAGCGGUGAAAUGCGUAGAGAUGUGGAGGAACACCAGUGGCGAAGGCGACUCUCUGGUCUGUAACUGACGCUGAGGAGCGAAAGCGUGGGGAGCGAACAGGAUUAGAUACCCUGGUAGUCCACGCCGUAAACGAUGAGUGCUAAGUGUUUAGGGGGUUUCCGCCCCUUAGUGCUGCAGCUAACGCAUUAAGCACUCCGCCUGGGGGAGUACGGUCGCAAGACUGAAACUCAAAGGAAUUGACGGGGGCCCGCACAAGCGGUGGAGCAUGUGGUUUAAUUCGAAGCAACGCGAAGAACCUUACCAGGUCUUGACAUCCUCUGACAAUCCUAGAAGAUAGGACGUCCCCUUCUGGGGCAGAAUGACAGGUGGGUGCAAGGGUUGUCCUCCGCUCCUGUCCUGGAGAUGAGUUGGGGUUAAUUCCCGCACCCACCGCACCCCUUGAUCUUUAUUUUCCGCCAUUCAUUUGGGGCCUCCUAAGGUGACUGCCCGUGGCCAACCCGCCCAAAAGGAGGGGGGGGAGGGGGAAAUCCUCCCACGCCCGCCUUUAAACCCGGGCCUCCCCCCCUGCCUCCCUUGAAGAAAAAAAAAAGGAAA
rnacentral:rRNA from 1 species